GAAGGAGAGAGGGAGAGGAAAGAAAAACGACAGCAAAGAAAGAAGAAAGUGAAGAAGAGAGAAAUAAAAGAAGAACAGGUGAAGGGACUCCAGCUCCCAGGAUGCACUGCUGCUGCUGCUCAGCCUCAGCUGCAGGAGAAGCUGCUUCAUCUGAGUUUAUUCAAACUAGAACUUUAAUCUGGAUCCUGAAGGUGAUUAAACCUCUGACUGUCUCCAGCUGACGGUAAAACCAACAAAGUUAUAAUAAAAAUAAGACCUCUGAAACAAAUCGACUGCUCGAACCAGAGCCCGUAAAAUAUGAAAACGUUUGUUGUUCUUGGUGCAGCUGAACCAGGCUGAUCCGGACUGAACCGGGCUGAACCGGGCUGAACCGGGCAUAACUUCAGGCAGUGUUUCCAGAGCAGUCCGGACAGACUCCUGAUUUCACUCCUGGUUGUGACUGUGGUGAUGUUUGUUGGUUCCAUGAUCUGUGGCUGAUCAGCGUGUUGCUCCAGAACCUGAGCAGCUCGCUGGUUCCUGGUUUUUACACUUUUGUUGAAUAAAGACACGUAACGAGGUUCGAGUCGCUGUGUUCCAGGUCACAUUGGACAAGUUUCACUUCUUUCACUCCGGUUCGAUUCCUUUAAGUUUCGAGUCGUUGUGAAAAACUUUCGAGUCUUUAUGGACAAACUUUGAGUUGUUUUGUUCCAGUUUCAGGUCAUUCUGGACCAGGUUCAAGUCACUCUGGACCAGGUUCACCUCAGUCCUGCACGUCUGCUGCUCGUCCAAUCGGACGGCGCUGCCGGUUGCGUAACGCUAAUCCUUCCUGGAUCAGCUGGUCUCUGGGCGGCGUCCAGCCAGGACCUCCAACUGGGUUUGUGGAGCGGCGCUCAGUAAUCGCUGCGUUAUGCAACCAGCUCCUUCAUCUCUGCCUCCUCCUCAGCAGCAGGACUGAAGCACUGGAGUCGUCCUGAACACGACCCAGUGACCCGGUGACCCGGUGACUCGGUGACUCAGUGACCCGUCGACCUCCCUCAGCUCCGACUGGACUCCAGCAGAACCACAGAACUGUUCAGCUCUGUGGAACCAGAACCUCAUGAAGGAGGACAGAGAACCCGUUUACAUCCUAAAGCUUCGACAAACACAACAAAAUGCCCCAAACCAUUCAAAGGUUGUGCAGAAUCUUUUGAAACGUGUCAAAAUAGUCUGACACUCGUUCAAAAUGACUUGAAGCUUAAAUAAAGGACUCAAACCUGAAUGAAAGAACCAGAACUUCUCCAACGGACCUGAAACUGGAACCAAACGAACUUGAAGGGAAAUCAGAAUAUCUUAAUAUUUAUUGAACAAAACUGUAAAACCAGGAUCUGAACUCUGGAUCUUGGCGUCUCCUCAGAUGUUCAACCAUCUACAGCUUCAUUUGCUUCCUGCCUGCACUUCAAAGUAAAAGCCCCGUAGUUUCAGUCCGUCCAGGCGUCACGGUUCUGCAGCUCAGAACCUUUUCAAAGCAAACUGCUUGUUUUUGGUUUAAACCAGAUAAAAGAUCACGACUUUAAUUCUCUCGAGUGAAAUCGUAAAUGUGCAGUUUUAUUGUGUUUAAAACAGAAAAAAAAUAUUUCACAUGUUUUUGCCAUUUAUAGAAAAUAUUUAAAGAAAUAAAAUCACAGAAAAAGCAUGAAUUGUUGUUGUUAACUGUUGUUACUAUGGUGACAGACCAAAAGUGUAAAUAAAAGCGACGUAUUGUGAA